ACCUCCCAACCCCUGUGACAUACCACUUGUUGCCUCGGCGGAUCAGCCCGCUCCCGGUAAAACGGGACGGCCCGCCAGAGGACCCCUAAACUCUGUUUCUAUAUGUAACUUCUGAGUAAAACCAUAAAUAAAUCAAAACUUUCAACAACGGAUCUCUUGGUUCUGGCAUCGAUGAAGAACGCAGCAAAAUGCGAUAAGUAAUGUGAAUUGCAGAAUUCAGUGAAUCAUCGAAUCUUUGAACGCACAUUGCGCCCGCCAGUAUUCUGGCGGGCAUGCCUGUUCGAGCGUCAUUUCAACCCUCAAGCACAGCUUGGUGUUGGGACUCGCGUUAAUUCGCGUUCCCCAAAUUGAUUGGCGGUCACGUCGAGCUUCCAUAGCGUAGUAGUAAAACCCUCGUUACUGGUAAUCGUCGCGGCCACGCCGUUAAACCCCAACUUCUGAAUGUUGACCUCGGAUCAGGUAGGAAUACCCGCUGAACUUAAGCAUAUCAAUAAGCGGAGGGAAAAGAAA
rnacentral:rRNA from 1 species